rnacentral:rRNA from 1 species
GACAUAGGUGGCAAGCGUUCUUCGGAAUUACUAGGCGUAAAGCGAGUGUAGGCGGACGAUUAAGUCCGAUGUUAAAUCUCCAGGCUUAACUUGGAGUCGCAUCGGAUACUGGUCGCCUCGAGUGGGGUAGGGGGCAGCGGAAUUCCCGGUGUAGCGGUGAAAUGCGUAGAUAUCUGGAGGAAGACCGGUGGCGAAGGCGGCAUCCUGGACCGGCAUUGACGCUGAGGAGCGAAAGCCAGGGGAGCAAACGGG